rnacentral:rRNA from 1 species
AGUUUGAUCAUGGCUCAGAUUGAACGCUGGCGGCAGGCCUAACACAUGCAAGUCGAACGGUAACAGGAAGCAGCUUGCUGUUUUGCUGACGAGUGGCGGACGGGUGAGUAAUGUCUGGGAAACUGCCUGAUGGAGGGGGAUAACUACUGGAAACGGUAGCUAAUACCGCAUAACGUCGCAAGACCAAAGAGGGGGACCUUAGGGCCUCUUGCCAUCGGAUGUGCCCAGAUGGGAUUAGCUAGUAGGUGGGGUAAC